GAUGAACGCUGGUUUUUGUGCCUAACACAUGCAAGUCGAGCGAUCUUCUUCGGAAGAGAGCGGCGGACGGGUGAGUAACGCGUGGGUAACCUGCCCUGUACACACGGAUAACAUACCGAAAGGUAUGCUAAUACGAGAUAAUAUGCUUUUGUCGCAUGGUAGAAGUAUCAAAGCUCCGGCGGUACAGGAUGGACCCGCGUCUGAUUAGCUAGUUGGUGAGGUAACGGCUCACCAAGGCGACGAUCAGUAGCCGACCUGAGAGGGUGAUCGGCCACAUUGGAACUGAGACACGGUCCAAACUCCUACGGGAGGCAGCAGUGGGGAAUAUUGCACAAUGGGCGAAAGCCUGAUGCAGCAACGCCGCGUGAGCGAUGAAGGCCUUCGGGUCGUAAAGCUCUGUCCUCAAGGAAGAUAAUGACGGUACUUGAGGAGGAAGCCCCGGCUAACUAC
rnacentral:rRNA from 1 species